UCAUUUAUUUGCAAUACUGAAUAAAUAUCUCAAUGCUUUUCUCUAAGAAAUAGAUACACUUUUAUACUGGCCUCGGCCCAUUUAAUGAUCAACAAUAUUAUCAACUACUCUGUCAAUAACUGGUAAAUAAUCUCUCUUUUACUGGUCAAAGAAAGUUAUAUAAUUGUCUGUAGAUUAGCUAGAUAGGAGUCUAUUGGAUCGGCAGCUAGCAAGUUACAAAACAAAUUCUCUUUUUGUGCUCAGAUGUUGAAUAGUCACCGAGUUGAUAUGUUUUGGGCUCUAUUCAAAACAUGUAUUCUUCUGUAAUUUUUUUGGCCCAUAAUAAUCAGACUCGAUUCCGAAUAGCAAGUGCGCCUGAUCACUGUUCGUCCACCCGGUUUUUGCUUGUUUUACCUUAGCCUUCAUAGUCCCUCAAGGAAAUUAUCACUGAACUCCGACAAUGGCAUCCUCUCACUUUCGUGAACGACGCUUGAUUUUCUCUUAGUAAUAGUUCUUUACUGAAUUUUGUUGGUACAUAAAUGGUUCUUUACUGAAGAUACUUGUAUGUGUCUAUGUGUAUGGAGAAUGGUGAUGAAACCCGCACCCACCUCCAUGCCCCAUCGUCGUGCUGCUGCAGGUCGACUCCAUCGUGCAGCCACAGACGUGAUCUCCGACCAUCCCUCCUCAGAGCUUGCAGUCCAGGUCGAUGGCAAAUUCGAGUUCUAGGAGGCCUUUUUGUGCUGCAGCUGCAGGUUUGUGUUCUUGGGGAAAAAUCUUUGUUUGUUUCUUAUAUUGGUGAUGCGGGUGAGAUGAUUUCUGCCUGAUUUGUGCCUUUUCAUCUUGAUCUGUUUAGCAUUGGAGCCCUUGAAGCAUUUGAAUGGAGCACAUAUAGGCAUGCUCCGGUUCAUCUUAGGUAAGUGUGAAUCUGCAGAGCAUGGCGGAGAAGAGCCAAGCCGUGGUGAGUCGAUUACAGCUUGCGGCUAUGCCCAUGAUGCAGUGGCUGGUACGCUCCCAUGGUGGCAACGCAAAUGCACUUGAUCAAUUCUCUGGAGCAACGCUAGCGAUGAGUUAUGGACCAUGACGCCGCCUCCCAGUCUUGCCCUCUGCUACGUCCACUAGUACACAUGAAGUGUUUCAAGCGACAGCAGAGCGAGUACCGGGAGAGGAGAUGAACCUGGGCAAGCAAAAUUGAGAACUAUGGCAGCGGCGAGUACUCCAAUGGGCAAGCAAAAUUGAGAACUGUGACAGCACCUGUACACCAACUCGCCUCCACCUGGGCGGGGGCGAGGAAGAGCCCAGCACCAGCAGGCGAGGAGAUCCUGAGCUUAGGAGAGAAGGAGAUCAUGGGCGUGGGAGAGGACUAGAUACUGGGCGUGGACAUCUUGGUUCUGGAGAUUUAUUUUUCUCUUGAACCUACAAAAUCAAUCGUCUCUUGAGUAGAUGUGUGCUAAACUUGCCUUCUAUUAACACAACAUGUGUUUGAUCUUUAUUCUCUUGGACAAGUCAUUUGGACCGGCACCCUCGCGCCAGGGCGCGAUCCCGAUCUAGUU